rnacentral:misc_RNA from 1 species
GCCAUCUGGAACAUUGUUGACGCUUUAUUUAUUAAGAAGAAUGUGGUGAGAUAACAAGUCUUAGAAAAUGAGUUGGCUGAUACAACUUAGGGUGAUCUAUCUAUUUCCCAGUACUUCUUAAAAAUAAAAGAUCUAUGUUUAAAAAUUUAUCUCAUGGAUAUAAUAGAAAGCAAUUUCAGAAUCAUGAAUGAAGCGAUUCAUUAUUCAUGGUCUUCAUUGUGAGUUUAUUCCAUUUGUUACUUUAGUUCAAGUUUGGGCUCAAGAGCCAUCUUUAGUGGAAUUUGAAAAUUUUCUUGCUUCUGAAGAGACCUUAGCUCAUCAAAUGGCUAGGAUAUCUAUGUCUAGAGGUGAAGAUGAAGCCUUAUUUUCUAAUAAGGAAAUUUUUAAUAAUGAAGAGAAGCAAGGAAAGGCAGUUUAUGAGCAAGGUGAACAUUCCUCAACUCCUGAUGGUAGUA